rnacentral:rRNA from 1 species
GACGAACGCUGGCGGCGUGCUUAACACAUGCAAGUCGAACGGAAAGGCCCUGCUUUUGUGGGGUGCUCGAGUGGCGAACGGGUGAGUAACACGUGAGUAACCUGCCCUUGACUUUGGGAUAACUUCAGGAAACUGGGGCCAAUACCGGAUAGGAGCUCCUGCUGCAUGGUGGGGGUUGGAAAGUUUCGGCGGUUGGGGAUGGACUCGCGGCUUAUCAGCUUGUUGGUGGGGUAGUGGCUUACCAAGGCUUUGACGGGUAGCCGGCCUGAGAGGGUGACCGGCCACAUUGGGACUGAGAUACGGCCCAGACUCCUACGGGAGGCAGCAGUGGGGAAUAUUGCACAAUGGGCGGAAGCCUGAUGCAGCAACACCGCGUGCGGGAUGACGGCCUUCGGGUUGUAAACCGCUUUCGCCUGUGACGAAGCGUGAGUGACGGUAAUGGGUAAAGAAGCACCGGCUAACUACGUGCCAGCAGCCGCGGUGAUACGUAGGGUGCGAGCGUUGUCCGGAUUUAUCGGGCGUAAAGGGCUCGUAGGUGGUUGAUCGCGUCGGAAGUGUAAUCUUGGGGCUUAACCCUGAGCGUGCUUUCGAUACGGGUUGACUUGAGGAAGGUAGGGGAGAAUGGAAUUCCUGGUGGAGCGGUGGAAUGCGCAGAUAUCUGGAGGAACACCAGUGGCGAAGGCGGUUCUCUGGGCCUUUCCUGACGCUGAGGAGCGAAAGCGUGGGGAGCGAACAGGCUUAGAUACCCUGGUAGUCCACGCUGUAAACGGUGGGUACUAGGUGUGGGGUCCAUUCCACGGGUUCCGUGCCGUAGCUAACGCUUUAAGUACCCCGCCUGGGGAGUACGGCCGCAAGGCUAAAACUCAAAGGAAUUGACGGGGCCCCGCACAAGCGGCGGAGCAUGCGGAUUAAUUCGAUGCAACGCGUAGAACCUUACCUGGGUUUGACAUGGAUCGGGAGUGCUCAGAGAUGGGUGUGCCUCUUUUGGGGUCGGUUCACAGGUGGUGCAUGGCUGUCGUCAGCUCGUGUCGUGAGAUGUUGGGUUAAGUCCCGCAACGAGCGCAACCCUUGUUCACUGUUGCCAGCACGUUAUGGUGGGGACUCAGUGGAGACCGCCGGGGUCAACUCGGAGGAAGGUGGGGAUGACGUCAAGUCAUCAUGCCCCUUAUGUCCAGGGCUUCACGCAUGCUACAAUGGCUGGUACAGAGAGUGGCGAGCCUGUGAGGGUGAGCGAAUCUCGGAAAGCCGGUCUCAGUUCGGAUUGGGGUCUGCAACUCGACCUCAUGAAGUCGGAGUCGCUAGUAAUCGCAGAUCAGCAACGCUGCGGUGAAUACGUUCCCGGG